UACGUAGGGCGCAAGCGUUGUCCGGAAUUAUUGGGCGUAAAGAGCUCGUAGGCGGUUUGUCGCGUCUGCUGUGAAAACUGGAGGCUCAACCUCCAGCCUGCAGUGGGUACGGGCAAACUAGAGUGCGGUAGGGGAGAUUGGAAUUCCUGGUGUAGCGGUGAAUGCGCAGAUAUCAGGAGGAACACCGUGGCGAAGGCGGUUCUCUGGGCGAUUACCUGACGCUGAGGAGCGAAAGCGUGGGGAGCAAACAGG
rnacentral:rRNA from 1 species